rnacentral:tRNA from 1 species
ACCCAAAUAGCUCAGUUGGGAGAGCGUUAGACUAUAGAUCAAGGUGUCCCUGGUUCGAUCCCGGGAUUCGGCA